UAGGGAAUCUUCCGCAAUGGACGCAAGUCUGACGGAGCAACGCCGCGUGAGUGAAGAAGGUUUUCGGAUCGUAAAACUCUGUUGUUAGAGAAGAACAGCGCAUAGAUAAACGGUUAUGCGUGUGACGGUAUCUAACCAGAAACCCACGGCUAACUACGUGCCAGCAGCCGCGGUAAUACGUAGGUGGCAAGCGUUGUCCGGAUUUAUUGGGCGUAAAGCGAGCGCAGGCGGUCAAUUAAGUCUGAUGUGAAAGCCCCCGGCUCAACCGGGGAGGGUCAUUGGAAACUGGUUGACUUGAGUGCAGAAGAGGAGAGUGGAAUUCCAUGUGUAGCGGUGAAAUGCGUAGAUAUAUGGAGGAACACCAGUGGCGAAGGCGACUCUCUGGUCUGUAACUGACGCUGAGGGUCGAAAGCGUGGGUAGCAAACAGG
rnacentral:rRNA from 1 species